rnacentral:rRNA from 1 species
GACGAACGCUGGCGGCGUGCUUAACACAUGCAAGUCGAACGGUGAAAGCGGAGCUUGCUCCGCUGGAUCAGUGGCGAACGGGUGAGUAACACGUGGGCAACCCGCCCCUCACUUCGGGAUAACGCCGGGAAACCGGGGCUAAUACCGGAUAUGACCUCCUUGGGCAUCCUUGGAGGUGGAAAGUUUUUCGGUGAGGGAUGGGCCCGCGGCCUAUCAGCUUGUUGGUGAGGUAGUGGCUCACCAAGGCGACGACGGGUAGCCGGCCUGAGAGGGCGACCGGCCACACUGGGACUGAGACACGGCCCAGACUCCUACGGGAGGCAGCAGUGGGGAAUAUUGCGCAAUGGGCGAAAGCCUGACGCAGCAACGCCGCGUGCGGGAUGACGGCCUUCGGGUUGUAAACCGCUUUCAGCAGGGAAGAAGCCGCAAGGUGACGGUACCUGCAGAAGAAGCACCGGCUAACUACGUGCCAGCAGCCGCGGUAA